rnacentral:tRNA from 1 species
GAGGGCAGAGCUCAGUGGCAGAGCGCGUGCUUAGCGUGCACGAGGUCCUGGGUUCAAUCCCCAGCACCUCCA